rnacentral:rRNA from 1 species
UACGAAGGGGGCUAGCGUUGCUCGGAAUCACUGGGCGUAAAGGGCGCGUAGGCGGACAGUUUAGUCAGAGGUGAAAGCCCAGGGCUCAACCUUGGAAUUGCCUUUGAUACUGGCUGUCUUGAGUUCGGGAGAGGUGAGUGGAACUCCGAGUGUAGAGGUGAAAUUCGUAGAUAUUCGGAAGAACACCAGUGGCGAAGGCGACUCACUGGCCCGAUACUGACGCUGAGGCGCGAAAGCGUGGGGAGCAAACAGG